GGAAUCGCGCGGGGCCUGAAGGGAGGGGUUUGGGCGCGGGAGCCGGGCAGGAGAAGACGGAAGUGGAGCGAGGACAAAAUGGCUGCGAAGGUUGUUGCUCCCCUCCCCCACCCACGUCCGAAUCCUCCUUUCCAUGCCCCACCUUCGUGUUCCAGACGGGCCUCUAAGUGCCCCGGGUUUCGCGAAUCUGUAUUUCAUAGCGUGGCUUUGGACAAGGGCUGACCCCGAGGGGCUGGGGCGAAGGUUCCGGCUUCAGGGUGCCACUAGGGCUGCUCGCUCACGGCCCCCCAGGAUUGGGAUUGGAGGGAGCCGCCAGGCCGCCGCGGGGUGGGGCGGGUUAGCUCGGCAGGCCUCCCAGCACCUGCAUUUCCCUACGGCAACUGUCGGGAGGCAGCCCCCGACGCAGAGGUUUAAGGGGCCCGGCUUUUCAGAACCGCCUCAGGACGCGGUCGUGUCUGGAUCCCUCCGCGGAAAAGAAGGCGAAACCGCUUCUCUGAGCCCUGACCGUUAGGCCCCUUCCCACCUCCGUCUAGAACAGAUUCGGCUUCUUGGCUCAGUCCUUCCCCAACUAGCCCAAGCCCUACAUUUCCCCGUUGUUUAUAAAAUAAACAGGUUUAAAUGGUG
rnacentral:lncRNA from 10 species